rnacentral:rRNA from 1 species
UGUGACGGUACCUGCAGAAGAAGCACCGGCUAACUACGUGCCAGCAGCCGCGGUAAUACGUAGGGUGCGAGCGUUGUCCGGAAUUACUGGGCGUAAAGAGCUCGUAGGUGGUUUGUCGCGUCGUCUGUGAAAUCCCGGGGCUUAACUCGGGCGUGCAGGCGAUACGGGCAUAACUUGAGUGCUGUAGGGGAGACUGGAAUUCCUGGUGUAGCGGUGAAAUGCGCAGAUAUCAGGAGGAACACCGAUGGCGAAGGCAGGUCUCUGGGCAGUUACUGACGCUGAGGAGCGAAAGCAUGGGUAGCGAACAGGAUUAGAUACCCUGGUAGUCCAUGCCGUAAACGGUGGGCGCUAGGUGUAGGGGGCUUCCACGUCUUCUGUGCCGUAGCUAACGCAUUAAGCGCCCCGCCUGGGGAGUACGGCCGCAAGGCUA